rnacentral:rRNA from 1 species
GACGAACGCUGGCGGCGUGCUUAACACAUGCAAGUGGAGCGACGAACCAGGCUUCGGCCUGGGGCAAAGCCGCGAACGGGUGAGUAACACGUGGGUAACCUGCCCCGAAGAUCGGGACAACCCGGGGAAACCCGGGCUAAUACCGAAUGUGCUCCCGCCACAUCAGUGGCAGGUGCAAAGGAAGCUUCGGCCUCCGCUUCGGGAGGGGCCCGCGGCCCAUUAGCUUGUUGGUGAGGUAACGGCUCACCAAGGCUCCGAUGGGUAGCUGGUCUGAGAGGACGAUCAGCCACACUGGGACUGAGACACGGCCCAGACUCCUACGGGAGGCAGCAGUGGGGAAUCUUGCGCAAUGCGCGAAAGCGUGACGCAGCAACGCCGCGUGGGGAAGAAGGCCUGGU